ensembl:lncRNA
CUGUUGUAGGCACAAGCUACCCAAGUUAGAAAUCCUAGAAUAGUUAGGAUGAACAACUUCUUAGUCAAAUAAACUAUCAAUCCUUCAUUUUGUACGCUUCUACAGGAGGAAAGGGCUGUAAGUGACAGAAAAAAAAAGAAGUUCAGGCAAAGUAAUUGAGCUCCUUAGAGUCAGAGACCAGAUUUAUUUCAGCUGCACACCAUGUAAAAUUAAGGUAAAAACCCAACACCUCAUCAAAGGCUGUGUGGAAGAUGGUGCCCCAUAUUAUUCCUAGACAGAAAUGGUAGCUGGAGUUAUGUGUGUAUUGAAUGAGCUAUGAAAUGAACUUGGAAAAUCUGACCUGUGAGAUUAUAGUCAGCAGUGAUCUGCUGCCAAGCAGCUUAUUCUUAUUUAUUCCACUAAAGUCAACCUUGCUGACACAAGCUUUUUAUAAAGGCGAUCUGCUUUGUGCGUGCCUGUCCCGUUACUAGGUUACUGGAGAAUGAAGUAUUGCUUUUUUGCAAACCCCUGUUCUAGCUUUUGGAAGUCCGGUCUCAUAAAUCUGUUGUAGAACUGACUUAUUUGCAUCUUGGAUUUCUAUUUACUUACUCCUAGCCUUUCCCAGCCAUUCUUUUUCACAUUUUGAUGAACUCCUCUUUCCUCCUUUCCCAAGCCCUGCCAUAAGAUAAAUAGAGGAUUCAGAGUAUUUGGUUUUGGCCAGUGCCAAGGUUUGCGUUCUCGGCAGCAUGCUGAUCAUGGCUGCAAUUCCUGGCUUGCAGGGGCUUGGGAUCCAGUUACAUUUGCUGGCGUCAAGCAGACUCUACAGACCACUGUGAAAUACUGAAUCUAAAAAUAAAAGAGUUAAAAAGUAUGAAACCAAAGAAAGUGGAAUACUAAAAUCCCAAGAAAACUGUAGAAAAGUUUGGAAGAAACACAUUAGCUUUCUCAGGGGAAAACAGUAACACGUUGGGGGCAGUUUAAAUGAAGCCUAUAGGUUUGCCUUUUUUUAGCUUCAUCACCCAUGUGACGCUCAAGAGUUCAGCGUGUGGGUCCAGGUAUUUCUGCCAACACAAAGAAUUCAUUACAGCCUUUUGGAAAGGCGCAUCAUUCUGACUGUCUCAGCUUAUUCCCUUCGCUCUCCCCAAGAGCUGUUAACCCCAGGUACACUUUGAUUCUCUUUACGCACAUCCUCGCAGAUGGGAUCCUUUCUCAGUCUUUGGAUUUCUCCUUCGGAUCAAAACCACUGCUGAUGGAGCCAGUGGGCUGCCGGGUGUGGGAAGAAUUUUCAGGCUCUGCACAUCAGGCUUGCAGCUUAAUAACUGAUUAAGUGCACCUUGCAGUGAGAGUACAAAGGAAUGAAGUAUAUUGCUGUAUUCUGGCAUGCAAGUCAUCAAGUUAGUGCACCUGACUGAGUGCGACUCGAGGCAGAGCUUCUGUGAGGACUCAUAGACAUUAUGAAACAGUCAGAAGGCCAAGCCAGGAUGGGAACCCCACUGAGCCAUGCACUGUGCACACACGCAUACAAGAAACUUCAUUUUCUUGCUCUUUGGACUGCUGGGAUCCCAUAAUAACUCAUCAAACUAUUGCUCAACUAUAGAACAAAUCCUUUGAAGCUUCUGUAUAAUAAAAACGAGUGCAUAGGUUGAAUUUCUCAUUGGAACAGAAAACAGUCACCCUCACCUCUGAAUGAUUUAGUUGUUUGUUUUCCUAGAUAGUCCGAGGUUUGAUACUUUUCAGUCCUUUAUUUGUAAUUAAUUUUAUGGAUGUAACAACCAUUUAUAUCCUCUGAUGGAAAAAAAAUGGCAAGCAUUUUGGUAACUGUCCACCAUGGGACAAUUUCUGACAGCAGGUCAGGAGUUGCAAGAAUAAGCAAUGAUAUCCUCCGUGAAGAAAGCUUGUAUCGGUCAGUACAGCAGGCACACAGGAAAGUCUGGAGCUUCUUCCAGACUCCUCAUUUCUUCAGCUGCCACAGAAUCCUACCUUCUCUUAACUCCCUGAAUCUUGUUCUGUAUGUUAAGGUUCUUGUGAAAUCCUUCCUUUCACAGUUCCAUAAAAAUAAGCUAUCAUAUGCCUAUUAUGAAAGCCUACCCUCCCUUGUCUAGUAACUGAAACAGGUCAAGACAAAAGGUAAGGGAUGUAAAAUACCAAUUCCACUCUUCCAGAACAGAGGGCUGAGGCAGAGACUAGGUAAAUAGUUCAAGGACACAGCUUCCACCAUUGGUGAGGGAACCUAAACAGAGUCACUGAAGCUCACAGGAAGCUACAGGAGCCAUAGAGGAAGAGACAAGCGGACUUUCGUACCAGAUUCAAUUUCAUGCGUGCACCUGCUCUUACUACAGACUUGAGAGAGCUACUAGAAUGGAAUUCUCUUCUCAGACCUGAACAAAUACAGGAAACCCCAUUCUUCUGUCCUCCUCCAAGUUGAGAGGGAGAGCAGAACCCCACUGGGUCACUGUGGGAAUGAACAGGAAGAAGUGAUGAGUGCUGGACCACAUUUGCAGAUAUUUUCUGCUUCCUUUCCUCCUAUGAGGAUGGCAUUAAUCAUUCUCAUACCUGUAUAACCUGAGCUGUAAAAAGUCAUAUUGGAUACUGAAGGAGAGAAGGAAGGCUCCAUCUGCCUUGAGAAGUAAUGGCCUAGAUGCUCUAAUCCAGGAAAUUGAAGUAUCAGAUAGUCAAAGAGAAUUUCCACAGAUGGGGCCGGAAAUGAGAUGAGAACUGAGCUGCUGGG